ACAUCAGAUGCUCCCCCUUAAUAAUGCAACAACAAGCAUAUUAUCAAGUUAUCAAGUUAUAAUUUUUCUCCCCCUUUGUCAAUUAAGGCAAAAAGGCAGAAAACAAUUCCUCCCCCUAUGUUAAAGAACAUAAGCAUAGGAAAUGAAAGCAUAUAACUUGUAUAUCAGAUCAGAACAAAACAAAUAUGCAACAGAUGUAGUAUGGCAGUAUUUAUAUGAUAACAAUUAAUACAUUUGCUCAUACAUAUAUAUU
rnacentral:lncRNA from 1 species